GAUGAACGCUAGCUACAGGCUUAACACAUGCAAGUCGCGGGGCAGCAUGGGGGUUGCUUGCAAUCCCCGAUGGCGACCGGCGCACGGGUGAGUAACGCGUAUCCAACCUGCCCUUCACCACGGGAUAACCCGGCGAAAGUCGGACUAAUACCGUAUGUUGUCCAUUGACGGCAUCCGAUUUGGACGAAAGGUUUGGCGGUGAAGGAUGGGGAUGCGUCCGAUUAGCUGGACGGCGGGGUGACGGCCCACCGUGGCGGCGAUCGGUAGGGGUUCUGAGAGGAAGGUCCCCCACACUGGAACUGAGACACGGUCCAGACUCCUACGGGAGGCAGCAGUGAGGAAUAUUGGUCAAUGGGCGUAAGCCUGAACCAGCCAAGUAGCGUGCAGGAUGACGGCCCUAUGGGUUGUAAACUGCUUUUAUGCGGGGAUAAAGUGGCCCACGUGUGGGUUUUUGCAGGUACCGCAUGAAUAAGGACCGGCUAAUUCCGUG
rnacentral:rRNA from 1 species